UCCGCACUCUUGAAAUCCUCUGAAUCACCCGAUUCAGUUUCAGAUUCAGACUCAGAACCUUCAUCAGUGGGUGUGGGCUGUUGUGGUUGCUUUUGACUAUCCUCAGUCUCAUCACCGUCAUCAGGAUAACAUUGGAAAAUUCCCACAUUCUCCCCCACUUUGCAUUGUACUCAACACUUCUCGUGAGCUUAAUUGUCUUAGAGUCAGUCAUCAUUAUUCUGUAAGACCCUUUCUGAUAACCUAGAAAGAUACCAUGCAAUCCACGCUUGUCUAACUUGGAGUUUUGUGGUGAGCGAACCCACAUGUCAGAACCAAAAAUCUUCAUGUGUUUGAUGUAUGGCUUCUUGCCAAACAUCUUCUCAUAGGGGGUACAACCGAUCGCUGAAGAUAACCUGCGAUUGUAACUGUAAACAAAACACGAGAGAGAUUCGGCCCAAUAACUCUCUGGAAGAUUGGCAUCAUGCAGCAAGGUUUUUAACCCUUGAAGCAAAGUCUGAUUUGCCCGUUCCGCAAGUCCAUUCUGCCAUGGCGGCGAGGACUAGACAAAUCGUGUUGAAUUCCUUUCUCAGUCAGAAAAGCUUCAAACUGCUGAGAAGUGAAUUCCCCCGCGAUCACUGAAAAGAGUCUUUAUCUUCUUACCAUGCACAUUUUCCAACCAAGCACAGAAUUCCUUGAACCUAGGAAAAGCCUCCGAUUUCUGCUUGAGAUUGUACACAAAAAUAUAUCUAGAAAAUGCAUCAAUGAGAACCAUGAAGUAUCUAUUUCCACCCAAAGAGGGUGCUAAUGGUCCAACCAAAUCAGCAUGAACAACCUGGUAUGGUUCUGUAGCUUUCCUACUAGACACCUUACCUUUCGCAGCCAUUUUCACUUUGUUUGCUGCGCAUGCUUUGCACUUCAUGUGGUACCUGCAGGGUUUAAUAGUCAUACCUUCAACCAAGGCAGGCAUUUUAGAUACUGCCUCAAAAUGCAAAUGACCAAAUUUGCGAUGAAAAUCGUGAAUACAUUCUGCAUGCAAACUUUUGUUAGAACCUGCAAUGCAACAAGUAUCAUCCUGCACCACAUCAUCAUAAUACAAAACAAACAAAUGAUCAACAUAUUCUGCAUGCAAUACAUAAUCAUUUUUCUUUGUGAUGAUGCACUUCUUGUUCUUGAAGGAAACGUCAAUGUUCCGCUCAUUCAGCUGUCCAACGCUGAGCAGAUUAUGUUUGGCGUCUGGCACGUAAAGCACAUUCUGUAUCGAUAAGUCCAAACUGUGAAGAACAACAGUUCCGUAGCCUUUACUGGGAAUAGUGUGGUCAUCCGCCUGGUGAAUCGCACCUUCCUGCGGUGUAAAAGACACAAACAGUUUCUUAUCGUUGCACAUGUGGUGGGUGGCCGCUGAAUCAACAACGAAGAAAGAUCUAGACGUCUUCUGGACCUUUGCAACCUUUGGAGUGAAGCGUGAAACCAUAGCCUUGUGCUGCGUUGUCCUAGACACCGGACCUUUGCCUUUGCCUCGGCCUUUUCCGCGCGAUGAGCUUUCGCUGCGCUGCUCUGUCUUGGCCCUGGGAUGUCUGCAUUCCCUCUUCAUAUGGCCUAGACGUCCACACGAGUAGCAUUUCACUGCCUCCAAAGCUUUGGCGCCAUCUGGUGGUUCCACUGCACUAUGGGAUGACGUCUGUGAAGACUCCCCCUUGCCCAUGCAGCCAGCACCCCGGCGAUCUGCUUCAUUUAAAAUCACGGCAGUAACAAAGUCCACUGUCAGCUGAGCAGUUGGUUGCACAGCAAUCUGGGUUGCAACAGACUCCCAACCUGAACCCAAAGAUUGUAGUAUCAUGAAAGAAUACACAGCCUCUGGAAAGUUGAGUCCUCUCUGUUGCAGCUCAUGUCUGAGAUUUUGCAUCUCCAUUAGAUGUAAACGCACAUCUCCACCUUCAGCAAGAGCCAUAUUAUGCAGCUUGUUAAAAUAAAACAUAGUGGAUCCAGCUUCUGUCCUUAAGUGAGCCUCUCUCAGAGCGUCCCAAAUUUCUCUGGCUGAGGUCUUAUCACGCAAUAGACAGAGCUCUUCUGGGGAUACUAUCAAUGUAAGAGUUCCCCUUGCUUUGGAAUCCUUAGCUUCCCAUGCAUCUGUAACUGGAACUGGGGGUUUCUGUAAUCACCUCAAACAAACCCUCUUUCCGCAGAAUUGCCUCUGCAUACUGAACCCAGUCGCUGUAAUUUUUCUUGUUGAGCUUAGGAAUCCCACAAGCAUCCUGAAGGGCCAUCAUGACUCUGGCAUUAGCCUUCAGCGUCAUAUGCUGCUUUAAAUCUUGCUGCGUCACUGCUGCAGCUGCCUCAUUACAAAGGCACACUUAAAAGUUACUUUCGAUUUCCCCAGCAUAGUGACUUGUGCCUGGGAGCCUAUUCCCUCCUACCGGCAAAACCGGCUUUAAAAGUUCAAAGUCCAGCCAUAAAGCCAUUAUCUUGAAGCUGGCAGGCUGCCCGGAGCAGUAGCACAUACCUCAUCAAUCACUUCUACGCGCAGAGCAGAUUCCUUUCCGAUCCGUCCCUCUGCAUUCCGAUCCUUUUGCCGACACUCCGAUUCGACCUCUGGGCCCAUAACCACGUGUUGAUUUAAAGCAGAGUCUGUCGUGCCCAGCGGAAGGAUGAGGAAAAUGUGCUCCAUACUCUAUAUUGCUUUAUUUACAGUUCAAAGCUGGUAUAUUACAGAAAGACAUCUUGCGUCUGCAGGAGCAGAAAAAUGCAUCCUCUCUCCUCGACAGCUUGGAGAGAAUCACACAGUGAAAAACAGGAAACCAGUGUACGUCACAUCCAGUCUCCCUUUCCCGUGAGAAACUCCAACAGUACAGACUGUGGAAUGUAAAACAAUGUCUUGUGACUGCAGUUGCUGCUCAGUGAGGGAAAUAGAAACCAACACUGCAGACGGAGGCCGUUUGUUUCCCCAGCGACAUGUGACUGGCUGAUUAGAUUAUCUGUCUGGAAACUGUAGAAACAGCUCCCUUUCCUUUCCUAAAGAAGCUGCAGAACUGUAAAUUGAACCCCAUAAAAACAGGAUUUUUUUCCCUCUGCAAAGUAAGCUGAACAACUUUGAGCUGAUCCUCAAAAAAGGGGCUUUCCCCCCUUUCAUCCUCUAAAAACUAUGUGCGUCUUAUGGUCAGGUGCAUCUUAUGGAGCGAAAAAUACGGUACGUUAUAGUUAGGUAUGCAGGUAGCUUCCUUAUACCCAGUCAGACUGUGUAUUCAGGAAGGGAUGUAGCUCAGUGAUAGAAGGCACUUUACAUGUGUCAUGAACUGGCUGGACACAGAGGAAUGGUGGGAGGCACCAGCUGGGGAACCCCCAAGAGAAGAAGGCUCAAGAGUCCAGGGAUUGGUGGUGGGGCAACAAUGAGUGGCCAGAGGGAGAAGAAGGAUUAGACUGGGAGGAGGAGGUGUUAGAAGCUGGAGAGGUGACAGGGGACUCAGCUACAUUGGCAAAGAAAAAGCACUUUAUAUAAGGUCCAUGAAUAAUAAUAGCUUAAAGGUCCUGGGCCCUAAGGAAGUCAGACUAGCCUCCAUCAGGGCCAGGGCUUUUUCAGUGAUGGCUCUGACCUGGUGAAAUGCUCUGUCCCAUGAGACUAGGGCCCUGCAGGACUUGAUCUCCUUCCACAGGGCCUGUAAGACAGAGCUAUUCCACGUGGCUUCAAUCUGAAUUAGCCUGAUCCACUAUUCCCUUUCCCUUUCCCCCCUCUCCUCUUCUAUGAAGAAACCCUAUCUAGGACCCCACAUUUAAAUUCUUCCCCGGUCUCCUUGCCGGCCCUAGUAGGACCAACUUGGCCUGUUAGCCCUAGUGAUCAUUUGAUGUCUACUGACUGGGUCCCCCCCCCAAAAAAAAUGACCCCUGAAUUUUUGAAUUUUAUUGAUAUUGAUGCUGCAUGACAGUAGCAGCAGCAGGUGGUGCAUUCCUGGAAGGCCUGUUCUGCUGCCCCCAUGGAUCCUGCUGCAUAAGGCAGUCGUCUCACCUUGCCUCAUGAUUGGGCCAGCCCUGAUAGCAGCUGGAAGGCAACACAUUAGCUAUCUUACUCCUUCUACUGCAAUGAGUGGGAAACUCCUGCAGGGAGGUGAGAUCCAUGUGAAUCAGAAUUCCUGCCCCCGUAAGACAUUACUGGGUGCCGGCACCCCAGGACAUUUUGACCACAAAAAACUGGAGUCUAGGCUCAGCUAUUAAGCAACAGUUUUCAGUGUGCUUCACUUCAGCAGUGAAUCCCACCAGGAGGGCUUCCUUCCAUGACUGUUUUCUGAAAAGAUGGCAAGAAGCCCAAGCAGAACAAACUUCAAAUUACAUCCUGAAAUGAACAUUGACCCUGGACAAGAUGAGGUUGGUGCAUAUGGGAAUUGCCAAGCAACCGCAUUUGUGUGCACAAAGCUAAAUCUUCUUAGCUCUAACAGAUGUAUGAGGGAUGGCCUAUUUUGAGCUGGUUUACUUGUUUGGUUCACUAACGGAAAGGGAUGUGAUGCGAAGGCAGCAUAAUGGGUGCAAUGAUGCUUCCCUAACUUACUGUAGUGAUCAAAGUGAAGCCACGUAGUAAUUUAUUUUUUAAAGGGAAUCUGCCCGGUUUCCCCUCUCCCUGUCUGCAAGGGGCUGAUAAAUGAUUAACACGGAGGAAUUUAAGAACAGGGGGAAUAAAAUGAAUAUGGUUCCAAGACAGCACUCUGGGGUGGAAAAAGAGUGCCUGUAUUGCCAGUAAUAAGAAAUGGAAAUAAGAUAAAUAGCAAAUGAGACAGCCAGCAAAGCCAAAUAAAUAACAUGGGGAAAGAACAAAUAUUUUCUGCAAAAUAAAGAACGGGACUAAAACAAACAAUAGGAGGAAUAAGCACUGAUGAAGAUUAAUUUGGUGAUUCGUAAGUACAGGGGAAGAGAGGGGAAAUUCUUGGAACUAAUGGAAAUGUGUUAUGUCAGUUCUCCAGUCGUAACUGGGCUGGAAAAUGUUCGCUGACAUUCAUAGCGUGGCAUUUUCAGAAGUGAUCCGUUGUGACCGAACUCUCCUCCCACUCCAAAAUAAAAUAAAAUAAAUCAGCCAGGGUUGAAUUAGUGACAAUUGCUUUGGGUUUAGUUCUAGAGUUGCUCGGGCCUGUUUUCUCCUUUCAAAGGCUCCAUGGAGAGGCACAGGGUUUAGAUGAUGGCUUGAUGGGGUGGGUGGUGAGCUCAGUUUUAUACCUUUUCACCUUUUACACCAUCAUAGUGGGAAAGUGCUCUGCCCAAAGAGGCCCAGCAAGCAACUUAUUUGGUUUCCAGGUAGCUGCCUAAAACAUAUUGUAUCUUUCAAAAGGUGGCCAAAGACAAAUGUUCCUUUUAAACCCAUAAUUUAUUUAUUUAUUGUGUUUAUAUGCCGCUAAUCCAACCAAGUACUCUGAAUGGUUCACAUGGACCAUAAAAUACAAUUUACAAUAAGGAUGCUUUAAAAAGAAAAAAGUCGCAAAGCAGAAUUCCCAGGGAGGGAGAUGCAUUGCACAUACACCUUUUGUUCUAGUGGUGGGAAGCAUCCAUAUAAUAGCUAUUCAGCACCAUCUGACUAGUUCCGAACUGCAUACUCUUCAAGUGUCCUGAUUUUGUUGGGACAUCCUAGAAUCAUAGAAUCAUAGAAUCAUAGAGUUGGAAGAGACCACAAGGGCCAUCGAGUCCAACCCCUGCCAAGCAGGAAACACCAUCAGAGCACUCCUGACAUAUGGUUGUCAAGCCUCUGCUUAAAGACCUCCAAAGAAGGAGACUCCACCACACUCCUUGGCAGCAAAUUCCACUGUCGAACAGCUCUUACUGUCAGGAAGUUCUUCCUAAUGUUUAGGUGGAAUCUUCUUUCUUGUAGUUUGUAUCCAUUGCUCCUUGUCCGCUUCUCUGGAGCAGCAGAAAACAACCUUUCUCCCUGCUCUAUGUGACAUCCUUUUAUAUAUUUGAACAUGGCUAUCAUAUCACCCCUUAACCUCCUCUUCUCCAGGCUAAACAUGCCCAGCUCUCUUAGCCGUUCCUCAUAAGGCAUCGUUUCCAGGCCUUUGACCAGUUUGGUUGCCCUCCUCUGGACACGUUCCAGUUUGUCAGUGUCCUUCUUGAACUGUGGUGCCUGGAAUUACAGAGGCCAUCUUGGCUUCUGAUUCAAUCCUGGAAUGUCCUGUUUCCCGCCUCCAGCGCUGCUGCCUCUGAGCUUGAGGAAGAGGAUGAGGUAGCGCUUGCAGUUGCUGCUGGCACUUGUGGUGGUGCUCCGCUCUUGCAUGAGUCAGCUGGCUCCCAUGGCACCCAAAGGCAUGUGCCCCAAUUUUCAUCAGUGGAAUGUUGGAGGGUAUGAAACUGUAGGACCUGUUGAUUUAAAGCAGAGUCUGUCGUGCCCAGCGGAAGGAUGAGGAGUACGUGAUACAUACUUUAUAUUGCUUUAUUUACAGUUCAAAGCUGGUAUAUUACAGAAAGACAUCUUGCCUCUGCCGGAGCAGAAAAAUGCAUCCUCUCUCCUCAACAGCUCGGAGAGAAUCACACAGUGAAAAACAGGAAACCAGUGUACGUCACAUCCAGCCUCCCUUUCCCGUGAGAAACUCCAACAGUACAGACUGUGGAAUGUAAACACCUGUCUCGUGACAAGCAGAGCUGCACAGUGAAGGAAAGCAGAAACUAACAUCCUCCCCCUUCUGUGAACAUCACUGGGCAGCGUGUUCACACAAUAUCAGUACAAACCCAACUUCUGCACAUAGGUACAGUGUUGAUCCCUUGAUACAAUCUUGGACAAUACAUCAGCAGGAAUUUCAUUACCUGGCAUAUAGGACACCGUUACGAGUCCCUUCUGAAUACAUUCCCUAGCAUGCUGCAACUUUAAUUGCAAGUGCUUUGUGCUUUGCUUACAACCUUCAGACUUCAGCAAAGCCAAACAUGCUUUGUUGUCCUGGUAAACCUGGAUUGGACAUUUGACAGGAAUUUUCAUAUCUUUGCACAAUUGUACUAACCAUUCACAAUCCUUAAGUGAAUAAGACAGUGCAUUCAGUUCGGCUUCACAAGUACUUAGGCUAACUGUUGUUUGCUUCUUGCAUGACCAAUCAAACAGACUCUGAUUGUACAUGUAGCAAACUCCAGACGUACUUUUCCUGUCUGUAGUGUCACUUCCAAAACUUGCAUCUGCAAAUAUCUCAAGACCACCAGACUUUUGAUUGUUAAAUCUCAGUCUGUAAUGCAUAGUGCCUUUCAAAUACCGCGCUAUGCGUUUCAGAGCUUUCCAGUGCUUGACACUAGGAUUGUUGACUUGUCUGCUUAGCAAAUUACAGCUAACAGCAAUGUCUGGUCUUGAACAUCUGGCAAUGAAGUUUAGCUUGCCUAGCACACUCCUGUACAGUGUAGUGUCAGAAAAUGCUUCUUCAGUGUCAUCUACCUGAUAACCUGUUGUCAUCGGUGUGUCUACAGGGUUAGCAUCCAUCAGAUUUAGUUUGCUUAACACAUCAGCAAUUUUCCGUGACUGGUGUACUAGAAUGUUACCAUCUUGAUCUCUCUCUAUUUCCAGAGAUAGGUAGUUGUUUACCUCACCAAGAUCUUUCAUGUCAAAGUGCUCUUUCAGUUGAGCUAGGGCGCUAUUGUACAUUGCAACAUCUUUCCAAAAGAAUAAUAAAUCAUCAACAUAAAACAAACAGUACAGUUUCUUUUGCCCCUCCUCUUUGAUAAAUACACAUGGAUCAGCUUUCCCUUGCUGAAAACCUAGAGAAAACAAUACUUCAGUGAGUUUUGUGUGCCAACACCGUGCACUUUGUUUGAGACCAUAAAGGGAUUUCUUCAGAGCACAAACAAAUCCCUGUUUUACCUGUACGCCAUCAGGUGGAAGCAUAUAAAGUGAUUCAUCUAGAGAUCCGUACAGAAAAGCUGUAUUAAUAUCAUGGUGACUAAUGUGUAGAUUUUCCUCUGCAGCUAGCUUGAGCAUAAGCCUAAUGCUUUCAUAUCUCACUGUGGGUGAAUAGGUCUCGUGAUAGUCUUCACCUGGUACCUGUGCAAAACCUCUGGCUACCAAUCUGGCUUUGUGUCUGACUAUCUUGCCAUUUUGAUCUGUCUUCGCUUUGAAGACCCAUUUGCUUCCAAGCAGUUUCAUUCCUGGAACUACUGGAACUAGCUCCCAUGUUUUGUUCCUUUCCAAGGAAUCAAGCUCAGCCUUCAUGGCAUUUAACCAUGGCUCAGCUUCCUUUGAAUCCAAACCCUGGAUUUCUUGGAAACUUGAAGGUUCAAAUACCUUCUUGGAGCUUUUAACAGCUGUUACUGCUAUCGUAGCAAACUCAUCAGCAAAUCUCUUUGGAGGUUUGCCUUUUGUGGCUCUCUGUGACCUACGAAUUAGCCUUAAGUCUUCAACACUCUCCUCUUCCUUCUUAGGAGAAAAACGACCUAUUGUGAACAAUGGUUCCUCCAAUUCUUGAUCAGAGCUUUCAGAGGGUCGCAUAGAGGCUUUCGCACUCUUGAAAUCCUCUGAAUCACCCGAUUCAGUUUCAGAUUCAGACUCAGAACCUUCAUCAGUGGGUGUGGGCUGUUGUGGUUGCUUUUGACUAUCCUCAGUCUCAUCACCGUCAUCAGGAUAACAUUGGAAAAUUCCCACAUUCUCCCCCACUUUGCAUUGUACUCGACACUUCUCGUGAGCUUAAUUGUCUUAGAGUCAGUCAUCAUUAUUCUGUAAGACCCUUUCUGAUAACCUAGAAAGAUACCAUGCAAUCCACGCUUAUCUAACUUGGAGUUUUGUGGUGAGCAAACCCACAUGUCAGAACCAAAAAUCUUCAUGUGUUUGAUGUAUGGCUUCUUGCCAAACAUCUUCUCAUAGGGGGUACAACCAAUCGCUGAAGAUAAUCUGCGAUUGUAACUGUAAACAAAACACGAGAGAGAUUCGGCCCAAUAACUCUCUGGAAGAUUGGCAUCAUGCAGCAAGGUUUUUAAGCCUUGAAGCAAUGUCUGAUUUGCCCGUUCCGCAAGUCCAUUCUGCCAUGGCGAGCGAGGACUAGACAAAUCGUGUUGAAUUCCUUUCUCAGUCAGAAAAGCUUCAAACUGCUGAGAAGUGAAUUCCCCCCCGCGAUCACUGAAAAGAGUCUUUAUCUUCUUACCAUGCACAUUUUCCAACCAAGCACA